GACAGUGUGGUGUAGUGGUUUGGGCAUUGGACUGGGACCCUAGAGGCCAAGGUGUGAAUCCUUGCUCAGUCA